UUCAGAACUGGAGAAGCUCCAUGCUGGGCUUAGUAAGCCUUUUUUCACUCCAAUUCUCCCAUAAUUCAUGUUCAAGAUGUAAUGAAUGGAUCAAUUUGUUUUCGAGCACCUUGUAAACAUGCUGUUAGAGGUAAGCUCUGCGCAAUGGAGAUCAUAAAAUAUGAGGAGAGUAGUAUAUAUUUUAAAAAUUGAUAAUCAUUCAAUGCUAGACAUUUUGGUUGAUCUACUCUUUGUUUCUUAUUCUAUUAUUGAUCAUGAAUAUAUGGUAGAGACUGUGUUCGGCUUGCACGUCCAUCUAUUAUAUGGAGCUACUAGAGAAAAAUGCAAAUAUUUUUUUAGUAAUUCAAAAAUUCUUAAAGCAGGUGUGGUUAUUAGACAAUGAAUGUAGGGAAAAACUUGCAGACUGGUAUAUAUUUUGUUUAAAUAGCAAAGAAAUAGAUGAUUCUUUGCAAGUUACUUUAUUUUGAAGUAAUACUAUUUAAUUUGAUCUUUAGAAGUACUUUCAAAUUAGAGCUUAAAUUUUAAAUAGUUACAAUGUAAAUUUUUAUCUUUGUAAAUCAUCACACUUAAAAAGUUCAAUCGCAAAAUUUUCAUUUCUGAAUUUUAUAAAUAA
rnacentral:misc_RNA from 1 species